rnacentral:misc_RNA from 1 species
GAUGAAGAACGUAGCGAAAUGCGAUAAGUAAUGUGAAUUGCAGAAUUCAGUGAAUCAUCGAAUCUUUGAACGCACAUUGCGCCCGCCAGUAUUCUGGCGGGCAUGCCUGUUCGAGCGUCAUUACAACCCUCAGGCCCCCGGGCCUGGCGUUGGGGAUCGGCAGAAGCCCCCUGUGGGCACACGCCGUCCCUCAAAUACAGUGGCGGUCCCGCCGCAGCUUCCAUUGCGUAGUAGCUAACACCUCGCAACUGGAGAGCGGCGCGGCCAUGCCGUAAAACACCCAACUUCUGAAUGUUGACCUCGUAUCAGGUAGGAAUACCCGCUGAACUUAAGCAUAUCAAUAAGCGGAGGA